rnacentral:rRNA from 1 species
GACGAACGCUGGCGGCGGGCUUAACACAUGCAAGUCGAACGGAAAGGCCCUGCUUUUGUGGGGUGCGCGAGUGACGACCGGGUGAGUAACACGUUGGUACCCUGCCCUUGACGGUAGGAUAACUUCAGGCAACUGGGGCUCAUACCGGAUAGGAGCUACUGCUGCAUGGUGGGGGUUGGAAAGUUUCGGCGGUAUGGGAUCGGCUCGCGUCUUAUCAGCGUGUUGGUGGGGUAGUGGCUUACCAAGGCGUCGAUCAGUAGCUGGCCUGAGAGGAUGACCAGCCACACUGGGACUGAGACACGGCCCAGACUCCUACGGGAGGCAGCAGUGGGGAAUCUUGCGCAAUGGGCGAAAGCCUGACGCAGCCAUGCCGCGUGAAUGAUGAAGGUCUUAGGAUUGUAAAAUUCUUUCACCGGGGACGAUAAUGACGGUACCCGGAGAAGAAGCCCCGGCUAACUUCGUG